UGACUAGGACUGAGGCUGAGUCCUUGCUCUCCUGAGCCUUAUUUUUUGACCCUUUCUGGUAGUAGAUAAACAGGAGAGAGGACUGGGCAGCUUGGCUGAGCUAAGCCUUCUGCUAAGGCCACUCUCCAAACCCCAGUGUUUUGGCCAAGAAAGGCGUGUUUGGGGGAGGGGUGGGAUUGGUCCACGUGGGCAACUCAAAUUUUGGGGAGGGUUGGGAUUCCUUAGAAGAAGCUUUUUGCCUAGAGCCAUGUCUGUCUCCCCCAGAACUGACCCCCCAGAAGGGCCACCUGAGAUCCACAGAGAACGCAUCCCCAGACAGUGAGCGCUGCUUGGGAGGCACCAGCCCUUCAAAAAAAAAAAUGUUUAAACGCAUCUCCUGCUCGUACCGGGGUGUGAUUUCCUGCCAGUCUUUAUAUCUGAACAGCAGACACAGAGGCCACACUCAUCGAGGCCAGGACAGUCUUGGCCGAAGAAAACUCACUAGGCAGAGGCGGGAUGCAAAGAUGCCCUUACACCCACCGGCCAGAAGGCCUCACGGCCAUCGCAGAAAUGGAAGUGAGGCACAAACAGAAGCUACAACCCAGGAUACAGGGAGGCUUUCUUGCCCAAGAAGGGUGGGUGCAGCGGUCUGUCCCAUCCAAGGGCUGGGACAUCGGGCUGCUCGAAGACCCCGAAGGGGUGUAGGGACUACAUCUGCCUCAAGGGCUCCACGUCCUGGUGCCCUUAUGCCUGCAACGCGCAACCGUCCAAGAUUCAUCCACUACCGGGUUCAACCCCCUCGGACCCAUGUCAGCUUCAAGAGACCCAAACGGUCCAGGACCCAUCAAUCCCACACUAAGGUGCCAGGCUGGACCCAUGAGAAACGGAUGGGGAGCAGUGUCGAGGAAGGGCUCCGGCCUGAGCUAAGUCAGCUGGAACAAGAUGCAGACAACCUAGGGGAAGAAGAAGCUGCCAGGCUCCCGGUGACUUCCCUGAAUGGGCUCCUGAUGGAAGGAGACAGGCAUCCCAAUCCUGGUCAGGGCCCUUUCUUCUACAUCGGAGGCA
rnacentral:lncRNA from 1 species